GCGAACCGGGGGAACUGAAACAUCUAAGUACCCCGAGGAAAAGAAAUCAACCGAGAUUCCCCCAGUAGCGGCGAGCGAACGGGGAGCAGCCCAGAGUCUGAAUCAGCUUGUGUGUUAGUGGAACGGUCUGGAAAGUCCGACGGUACAGGGUGAUAGUCCCGUACACCAAAAUGCACAGGCUGUGAACUCGAAGAGUAGGGCGGGACACGUGGUAUCCUGUCUGAAUAUGGGGGGACCAUCCUCCAAGGCUAAAUACUCCUGACUGACCGAUAGUGAACCAGUACCGUGAGGGAAAGGCGAAAAGAACCCCGGCGAGGGGAGUGAAAAAGAACCUGAAACCGUGUACGUACAAGCAGUGGGAGCACCUUCGGGUGUGACUGCGUACCUUUUGUAUAAUGGGUCAGCGACUUAUAUUCUGUAGCAAGGUUAACCGUAUAGGGGAGCCGCAGGGAAACCGAGUCUUAACUGGGCGUUAAGUUGCAGGGUAUAGACCCGAAACCCGGUGAUCUAGCCAUGGGCAGGUUGAAGGUUGGGUAACACUAACUGGAGGACCGAACCGACUAAUGUUGAAAAAUUAGCGGAUGACUUGUGGCUGGGGGUGAAAGGCCAAUCAAACCGGGAGAUAGCUGGUUCUCCCCGAAAGCUAUUUAGGUAGCGCCUCGUGAACUCAUCUUCGGGGGUAGAGCACUGUUUCGGCUAGGGGGUCAUCCCGACUUACCAACCCGAUGCAAACUACGAAUACCGAAGAAUGUUAUCACGGGAGACACACGGCGGGUGCUAACGUCCGUCGUGAAGAGGGAAACAACCCAGACCGCCAGCUAAGGUCCCAAAGUCAUGGUUAAGUGGGAAACGAUGUGGGAAGGCACAGACAGCCAGGAUGUUGGCUUAGAAGCAGCCAUCAUUUAAAGAAAGCGUAAUAGCUCACUGGUCGAGUCGGCCUGCGCGGAAGAUGUAACGGGGCUAAACCAUGCACCGAAGCUGCGGCAGCGACACUAUGUGUUGUUGGGUAGGGGAGCGUUCUGUAAGCCUGCGAAGGUGUGCUGUGAGGCAUGCUGGAGGUAUCAGAAGUGCGAAUGCUGACAUAAGUAACGAUAAAGCGGGUGAAAAGCCCGCUCGCCGGAAGACCAAGGGUUCCUGUCCAACGUUAAUCGGGGCAGGGUGAGUCGACCCCUAAGGCGAGGCCGAAAGGCGUAGUCGAUGGGAAACAGGUUAAUAUUCCUGUACUUGGUGUUACUGCGAAGGGGGGACGGAGAAGGCUAUGUUAGCCGGGCGACGGUUGUCCCGGUUUAAGCAUGUAGGCUGAUUAUCCAGGCAAAUCCGGAUAAUCAAGGCUGAGGUGUGAUGACGAGGCACUACGGUGCUGAAGUAACAAAUGCCCUGCUUCCAGGAAAAGCCUCUAAGCAUCAGGUAACAUCAAAUCGUACCCCAAACCGACACAGGUGGUCAGGUAGAGAAUACCAAGGCGCUUGAGAGAACUCGGGUGAAGGAACUAGGCAAAAUGGUGCCGUAACUUCGGGAGAAGGCACGCUGGUGUGUAGGUGAAGCCCCUGCGGGUGGAGCUGAGACCAGUCGAAGAUACCAGCUGGCUGCAACUGUUUAUUAAAAACACAGCACUGUGCAAACACGAAAGUGGACGUAUACGGUGUGACGCCUGCCCGGUGCCGGAAGGUUAAUUGAUGGGGUUAUCCGUAAGGAGAAGCUCUUGAUCGAAGCCCCGGUAAACGGCGGCCGUAACUAUAACGGUCCUAAGGUAGCGAAAUUCCUUGUCGGGUAAGUUCCGACCUGCACGAAUGGCGUAAUGAUGGCCAGGCUGUCUCCACCCGAGACUCAGUGAAAUUGAACUCGCUGUGAAGAUGCAGUGUACCCGCGGCAAGACGGAAAGACCCCGUGAACCUUUACUAUAGCUUGACACUGAACAUUGAGCCUUGAUGUGUAGGAUAGGUGGGAGGCUUUGAAGCGUGGACGCCAGUCUGCGUGGAGCCAACCUUGAAAUACCACCCUUUAAUGUUUGAUGUUCUAACGUUGGCCCCUGACCGGGGUUGCGGACAGUGUCUGGUGGGUAGUUUGACUGGGGCGGUCUCCUCCCAAAGCGUAACGGAGGAGCACGAAGGUUAGCUAAUCCUGGUCGGACAUCAGGAGGUUAGUGCAAUGGCAUAAGCUAGCUUGACUGCGAGCGUGACGGCGCGAGCAGGUGCGAAAGCAGGUCAUAGUGAUCCGGUGGUUCUGAAUGGAAGGGCCAUCGCUCAACGGAUAAAAGGUACUCCGGGGAUAACAGGCUGAUACCGCCCAAGAGUUCAUAUCGACGGCGGUGUUUGGCACCUCGAUGUCGGCUCAUCACAUCCUGGGGCUGAAGUAGGUCCCAAGGGUAUGGCUGUUCGCCAUUUAAAGUGGUACGCGAGCUGGGUUUAGAACGUCGUGAGACAGUUCGGUCCCUAUCUGCCGUGGGCGCUGGAGAAUUGAGGGGGGCUGCUCCUAGUACGAGAGGACCGGAGUGGACGCAUCACUGGUGUUCGGGUUGUCAUGCCAAUGGCACUGCCCGGUAGCUAAAUGCGGAAGAGAUAAGUGCUGAAAGCAUCUAAGCACGAAACUUGCCCCGAGAUGAGUUCUCCCUGAGACUUUAAGUCUCCUGAAGGAACGUUGAAGACGACGACGUUGAUAGGCCGGGUGUGUAAGCGCAGCGAUGCGUUGAGCUAACCGGUACUAAUGAACCGUGAGGCUUAACCUU
rnacentral:rRNA from 1 species